rnacentral:siRNA from 1 species
UUCAUGUGGGCUGAAGUAUCAGCA